rnacentral:lncRNA from 1 species
GAAUAGUUCGACCUUGAUCGAAUGACGACGGGUUAAUAUUUUGACAAGUUCAAAAUUACACCAUUUAAGGCCAAGGGCCUUUACCAAAAAGAAGAGUUCCACCUUGAUCGAACGAUGACGGGUUAAUAUUUCGACAAGUUCGAAAUAACACCCUUUAAGGCCAAGGGCCUUCGCCAAAAAGAAGAGUUCAACCUUGAUCGAACGAUGACGGGUCAGUGUUUCGACAAGCUCGAAAUAACACCCUUUAAGGCUAAGAGACUUCGCCAAAAAGAAGAGUUCGACCUUGAUCAAAUGACGACGAGUUAAUAUUUCAAAAAGUUCAAAAUAACACCCUUUAAGGCCAAGGGCCAUCGCCAAAAAGAAGUGUUCGACCUUAAUCGAACAGCGACGGUUUAAUAUUUCGAAUAGUUCAAAAUAACACCCUUUAAGCCCAAGGGCCUUCACCAAAAAGAAUAGUUCGACCUUGAUCGAAUGACGACGGGUUAAUAUUUUGACAAGUUCAAAAUUACACCAUUUAAGGCCAAGGGCCUUUACCAAAAAGAAGAGUUCCACCUUGAUCGAACGAUGACGGGUCAGUAUUUCGACAAGCUCGAAAUAACACCCUUUAAGGCCAAGGGCCUUCGCAAAAAAGAAUAGUUCAACCUUGAUCGAACGACGACGGGUUAAUAUUUCGAAAAGUUUCAAAUAACACCCUUAAAGGCCAAGGGCCUUCGAUAAAAAGAAGAGUUUGACCUUGAUCGAACGACGACGGGUUAAUAUUUUGACUAGUUCAAAAUAACACCAUUUAAGGCCAAGGGCCUUCACCAAAAAGAAGAGUUCAACCUUGAUCGAACGAUGACGGGUCAAUAUUUUGACAAGCUCGAAAUAACACCCUUUAAGGCUAAGAGACAUCGCCAAAAAGAA